rnacentral:rRNA from 1 species
GAUGAACGCUGGCGGCGUGCCUAAUACAUGCAAGUCGAGCGAACAGACGAGGAGCUUGCUCCUCUGACGUUAGCGGCGGACGGGUGAGUAACACGUGGAUAACCUACCUAUAAGACUGGGAUAACUUCGGGAAACCGGAGCUAAUACCGGAUAAUAUAUUGAACCGCAUGGUUCAAUAGUGAAAGACGGUUUUGCUGUCACUUAUAGAUGGAUCCGCGCCGCAUUAGCUAGUUGGUAAGGUAACGGCUUACCAAGGCAACGAUGCGUAGCCGACCUGAGAGGGUGAUCGGCCACACUGGAACUGAGACACGGUCCAGACUCCUACGGGAGGCAGCAGUAGGGAAUCUUCCGCAAUGGGCGAAAGCUUGACGGAGCAACGCCGCGUGAGUGAUGAAGGUCUUCGGAUCGUAAAACUCUGUUAUUAGGGAAGAACAAAUGUGUAAGUAACUAUGCACGUCUUGACGGAACCUAAUCAGAAAGCCACGGCUAACUACGUG